CCUGUAUUUUGCCAGGAGCAGCCUCCUUCUUCUUUCCAGCUGUCUCCAAUAGAUGCAAUUGUUGCAAAGUACUGGAUGACACGUUUUGUGUUCACAGUCUUUCCUGCACC